rnacentral:tRNA from 1 species
GGAAGCGUGGGAGAGUGGUUUAUUCCAGAAGUCUUGAAAACUUCCGUACUGAAAGGUACCGUCGGUUCGAAUCCGGCCGCUUCCG